rnacentral:snRNA from 1 species
ACAUUGGAUCCGGACUGCACCUU